CAGCAGUAGCCGCGGUAAUUCGAAGUGGGCUAGCGUUGCUCGGAAUCACUGGGCGUAAAGGGUGCGUAGGCGGGUCUUUAAGUCAGGGGUGAAAUCCUGGAGCUCAACUCCAGAACUGCCUUUGAUACUGAAGAUCUUGAGUUCGGGAGAGGUGAGUGGAACUGCGAGUGUAGAGGUGAAAUUCGUAGAUAUUCGCAAGAACACCAGUGGCGAAGGCGGCUCACUGGCCCGAUACUGACGCUGAGGCACGAAAGCGUGGGGAGCAAACAGGAUUAGAUACCCCAGUAGUCCCUGUCUCUUAUAC
rnacentral:rRNA from 1 species